AAUUAAUGGUCUCCUCUUUUGAGUUUUUCAGAUGGGACUUUGUGGGUGUGGGAUUUCUGAAGACUCGAUAGUGUUCACUGGUUUGCAUUUUCAGCAUACAAAAAAUGAAAUGUCACAGCAGGCUGUAUUAGAUGAGAGCAUAGAAUGGAUAAUUCUGUUUUUUAACGUUUCAUACACUGGGUAGACGGUCAGGAUCUAAGCACAGCCUAAGCUGGUAUUUUUACCAAAGCUUUGUUCAAAGGCUGACAAUGGGAUCC
rnacentral:lncRNA from 1 species